rnacentral:SRP_RNA from 1 species
GUCCGGGCCCUGUGCAAGGUCAGACGAUGAACCGCGUCAGGGCCGGAAGGCAGCAGCGCUCAGUCGAGCCUGGCUUGUGCCGCAGGUCGUCCGGGCCGC